rnacentral:rRNA from 1 species
GACGAACGCUGGCGGCGUGCUUAACACAUGCAAGUCGAACGAUGAACCCGGAGCUUGCUCCGGCGGAUUAGUGGCGAACGGGUGAGUAACACGUGAGUAACCUGCCCUUGACUCUGGGAUAACUGCUAGAAAUGGUAGCUAAUACCGGAUACGACCCUCGGUGGCAUCACCAGGGGGUGGAAAGAAUUUCGGUCAAGGAUGGACUCGCGGCCUAUCAGCUAGUUGGUGAGGUAACGGCUCACCAAGGCGACGACGGGUAGCCGGCCUGAGAGGGUGACGGGCCACAGGGGGACUGGGACACGGCCCGGACUCCUACGGGAGGCAGCAGGGGGGAAUAUUGCACAAUGGGCGCAAGCCUGAGGCAGCAACGCCGCGUGGGGGAUGACGGCCUUCGGGUUGUAAACCUCUUUUAGUAGGGAAGAAGCGAAAGUGCCGGUACCUGCAGAAAAAGCACCGGCUAACUACGUGCCAGCCGCCGGGGUAA